rnacentral:rRNA from 1 species
GCUCUAUAACCCUUUGUGAACAUACCUAUAACUGUUGCUUCGGCGGGUAGGGUCUCCGCGACCCUCCCGGCCUCCCGCCUCCGGGCGGGUCGGCGCCCGCCGGAGGAUAACCAAACUCUGAUUUAACGACGUUUCUUCUGAGUGGUACAAGCAAAUAAUCAAAACUUUUAACAACGGAUCUCUUGGUUCUGGCAUCGAUGAAGAACGCAGCGAAAUGCGAUAAGUAAUGUGAAUUGCAGAAUUCAGUGAAUCAUCGAAUCUUUGAACGCACAUUGCGCCCGCCAGCAUUCUGGCGGGCAUGCCUGUUCGAGCGUCAUUUCAACCCUCAAGCUCUGCUUGGUGUUGGGGCCCUACAGCUGAUGUAGGCCCUCAAAGGUAGUGGCGGACCCUCCCGGAGCCUCCUUUGCGUAGUAACUUUACGUCUCGCACUGGGAUCCGGAGGGACUCUUGCCGUAAAACCCCCCAAUUUUCCAAAGGUUGACCUCGGAUCAGGUAGGAAUACCCGCUGAACUUAAGCAUAUCAAUAAGCGGAGGAAAAGAAACCAACAGGGAUUGCCUCAGUAACGGCGAGUGAAGCGGCAACAGCUCAAAUUUGAAAUCUGGCCCUAGGCCCGAGUUGUAAUUUGCAGAGGAUGCUUUUGGUGCGGUGCCUUCCAAGUUCCCUAGAACGGGACGCCAGAGAGGGUGAGAGCCCCGUACAGUUGGACACCAAGCCUUUGUAAAGCUCCUUCGACGAGUCGAGUAGUUUGGGAAUGCUGCUCAAAAUGGGAGGUAUAUUUCUUCUAAAGCUAAAUACCGGCCAGAGACCGAUAGCGCACAAGUAGAGUGAUCGAAAGAUGAAAAGCACUUUGAAAAGAGGGUUAAACAGCACGUGAAAUUGUUAAAAGGGAAGCGCUUGUGACCAGACUUGCGUCCGGUGAAUCACCCAGCUCUCGCGGCUGGGGCACUUCGCCGGCUCAGGCCAGCAUCAGCUCGCUGUCGGGGACAAAAGCUUCAGGAACGUAGCUCUCUUCGGGGAGUGUUAUAGCCUGUUGCACAAUACCCUUCGGCGGGCUGAGGUACGC